GCGUCCGUAGCUCAGCUGGAUAGAGCGCCGGACUUCGAAUCCGUAGGUCGCAGGUUCGAAUCCUGCCGGACGUA
rnacentral:tRNA from 3 species